GCCAUGUGCGGUGGCCCACGCCUGUAAUCCCAGCAGCUCGGGAAGCUGAGACAGGAGGAUCGAGAGUUCAGAACCAGCCUUCGCAAUGGUGAGGGCCUAAGCAAUUAGAGACCCUGUCUCUA
rnacentral:sRNA from 1 species